rnacentral:lncRNA from 1 species
AUUAUAUUUGUUACAAGAAGAUUAUGUCUGAAAAGGAAUCAUAUUUUUUUUUAUAAAAUAGUCAUUCCUUGUUUAGAAAGUUUAUUUUGGCAACUAUACUUUAAAUAUCUGAAUAUUCAAAAAUGUCUUAAUGCUUCUAUAUAUCAUGGGCUUGUUUUGCUAAUAUGCAGUAUACAAUGUAUCCAGAGGACAAUAUUUAUUUAUUUAUUUUUAAAUAUUAUUUAUUUAUUCAUGAGAGACACAGAGAGAGAGAGGCAAAGACACAGGCAGAGGGAGAAGCAGGCUCCAUUCAGGGAGCCCGAUGUGGGACUCGAUCCCAGGACCCUGGGAUCACGCCCUGAUCUGAAGGCAGACACUCAACCACUGAGCCACUCAGGUGCCCCAGAGAAGACAAUAUUUAAAGAACAUUUUGGGGCGAAGAAGGAAUUUCUCUUUGUUGUGGGAAAGACAUGCAGGAGAUAAAAAACAAGAAUAGAAAAAUUCAUGGGAACCAAGCAUGGAGGGCCAACUAUCUGGGCAACUGGAAUGGAAUUGUGGUCACUGAGGCUCCUGGAAAUGACUGCUGCGCCCCUGUGGUAAGUGUGGGAAGCUACUGUCCUGACAGAAAAGCAUUUCAUCCUAGACACAAAACGCUAUAUCAUUCCCUUGGAUUAGAGUGAUAGAUGGCUUUCAAGGGGAAAAUAAAAGACAUACUCACGUGGAUGCUUCAGGUGAUGAUUCUGUCUUAGGUAUAGGCUCAACGUCACCAAGAGAAAAGUACAGUUUAAUCUGGAAGCUGUACUCGAUAAAUUCCCAUUAAUUGCAUGAGAAUCUAAAUGUUAAAAGAAUUACAAUUAUUAAAAAUAAAGUUACACCCCUCUAUUGCAUCAUUACCUAUUCUCUUACUCUGCUCUUCUUCAUAUAAUUUAUUACUACUGACAUCAUAUUAUUAUGUGUGUUUUAGUGUGUUUGCUAUAUUUCCCACUGGCUACAAAUUGCAUAGGGUAGGGACUCUGCUUUUCUCACUGCUGUAUUCUUAACUCCUAAGAGAGUGAUGGAUAUUUGAUAAAUAUUGACUGAUAUUAUAAAUAAAUCUAUAUUGGCAGUCAAGAGACUUGAGUCAAGGAGAGCAAUUAAGUGUUUAUCAAGUUGAUAAACUUGACUUUGAAGAGAUGAAAGAAAGAGAAAAGAGAUAUUCACUAUUUUGAAGAAUGAACAAGACUUGAUGACUCACAGAAUGUGGCUGUAGGGAGAGAAGGAGAAAUCUAAACUUGCUAAGACUUCAAGGUUAUGUAUGUGGAGGCAGAUGGUAGUGUUACAGAAAAUGGGGCAGUCAUUUGGAAAGUACACUUUGGCUAGAUAACAGGUUAAGCUCUUGACAGUCUGAGUGGGUGAGGGACAGUUAGAGAUCUCUGAUUAUAGUCCAGGAGGCAGGACAGGAUUGCCAACUUAGCUUUUUGGUAGACAUGAUAGCUGAGCCGUGGGUUUAGAUAAGAUUUCUGUGGGACAAACUCUAGAUGCAGUGAGAAAAGGAACAAAAGACUAAACCUUAUAGUUACAUAAGCCACCCUUGAAACUGAUCUUAAGCACUAUGACCUAUUCAUAAUUUAUGAAUCCAUUCACACUUGGCUGUUGAGCCCCAGCUAUGAGUGCUCUGAGGGACUCACAAACUAGCAGGGAAAGCUAGCAAAAAGAAAAGACUUACACACAUGACCCAUCAAGAUGCAUCAGCCACUCCAGCUCCAGCCAACUCUCUGAACCUAGUGUUGCCAGAUCUUAGGAUCUCUUAAGUCAAGUUUUAUGUGAGAAUUCCUAAUAUAGGACAUUGAUUAAAAUAUGUGGACCAAACAAAGCAUUUUUUGCUAUCCAGAUAUAAUUUAUAUCCACCUUUAUUAUAAACCCAAUCAAGAAGAGAUUCUGCUAUUUCCCUUACCCCUCAAAUUGCACAAUCUCAAGCAAGGAUGCUUUUAAUCCUGUGAGGAUUGUAUUAAAUAAUUUGGUAGGGACAGAUGAUUUAGGAAGGCUAUUUUAUAGUGGAAGAUAGGACCACUCUUUUUAAUAGGUCUACAUUUAUUUAUUUAUUUAUUUAUUUAUUUAUUUAUUUAUCACAUGCUUAAAGAGCUCAUACUAUGGGGUAGGAACUCAGCAUAUAUUGGUGAGCAAAUUAGAUAAUCUACAUUUUGUUUAGGCAAAUUUCAUCAGGUGGGAAAGGAAUUAGAAUCAUUACCAGUGGAAGAAGAGGAACUCUAGCAACUAAGAUAAAUAACUCUGGAUGAAACUGCUUUAAAGAUUAUUUAUUUAUUUAUUCAUGAGAGACACAGAGAGAGAGAGAGAGAGAGAGAGAGAGGUGGGCAGAGACACAGGCAGAGGGAGAAGCAGGCUCCAUGCAGGGAGCCCGACAUGGGACUUGAUCCCAGGUCUCCAGGAUCACACCCUGGGCUGAAGACGGCAAUAAACCGCUGAGCCAUGGGCUGCCUGAAACUGCUUUAAUAUUUAUGAAAAAGCUAAGAAUGGAAGAGGGAGGUAAUAUUCCUAGGUGAAGAGUUUAUCUAAUGUAUAUUGCUGGGAGAGGAUGGCUAGACCGUGAAGGAGGCCCUUGAAAUAUCUAGUAUGGGCAGGAGAAAAAACAAAUUAAUGAAAAAUAUAAUACAUCAAUUUUGUAACCUGUAGGAAAUGACGGCAAAGACUAAGUUUGAAUUAAAUAACUGAAUAAAUCAGUGGCUUCCAAGAUUUCUUUGAUUGUGUAGCAGUAAAUAAACUAUUUUCCCUUCUCACAUGGUCCAUGAUACACACACUUAGAUAUGUGUUCACACACACAUGCACAGACACACAUACAAUAAAAUUAAACUUUCCCAUAUUAAUAUUUAUAUUUCCUACAUGACCCCUUGAAAAUAUUUCCAUCUUGUUUUAUUUCAUCUUUAAAAAGAACUGAUCAUGACAUACCAAGGAGCUAAUUUCAUAUCUUUGAAAACACUGAAUUAAAUAAAAUAGUGACCUGUCAUUGUGUAUUGGUCCUUACUUCUCAAGGCCCAUGGAUUUUCCAAGAUUUUGGUGCUGAAAGUUUAUGAUAAUUGUUGAGAUAUGAAACAGUUCUGAGACUAUUAAACAAAAUAAUUUAAUAUUUAUUUAUUCUUUUAGAUGCUACACCUAUUUAUAUUGAGAAGUUAUGCUUAUUUUCAGAGACUUUUUACUUUCACUAGUCAAAAUCAAAUCAAUCAUGAUUUUGAGAGUAUAUGAAACUGAAAUUUUAAAACAAAGAAUAUCCAGGAUAAGUUUAGUGUCUCUUCAUGGAACUUAGGCUUGCAUUUAAAGAUAUUCAUGACUAAAACAUCAAAGAUAAUUCACAGUAUUAAUUGAUUAUUAAGUUUCAAUUUGCCUUGUAAUAAUGACAUUGGAAGAAUUAGCCCAAGAUGUAUAGAGCUUUGAAAAUACAAAGAUUUCUUUGUUCAUAUUGAUUCAUGCUGCUAUUUUUAAAUCUACUUUGUUAAGUUGUUGGCUUUUGAUGUAAUUAAACGAGCAGGAUAUUACGUACAAAUCACCACCUGUUUUUGCAAAACUUUUAGGAGCUAAAUUUCUGGAAUUCAGGGGCAUUUGAUUAUAAUGUUUAUGUUAUGUUCUUAAGAAAAUCACAAGUCUAAAUUAAAAUGCUAUAGAAUCAAACAUAUUGUAAAACAAAUGUUUAGGACAAGAAAACAAGACAGGAGUCAAACAUGCAAGUAAAGUAAGAAAUUUCAGCGGAUUAUCUGUUUUUUGAGUGUUGAAUUUGGUAAGUUCUUUAUAGAGUUUGGAUACUAACCCUUUAUCAGAUAUGUCCAUUGACUGAUGAAUGGAUAAAGAAAAUGGAAUAUAAUCCAUUCGUCAAAAAGAAUAAAAUCCUGCCAUUUGCAAGGACAUGAAUAUAGUUAGAGCAUAUUAUGCUAAGUGAAAUAAGUGAGUCAGAGAAAGACAAAUACCAUAUGAUUUCACUCAUAUAUGGAAUUUAAGGAACAAAACAGAUGAACAUAGUGGAAGGAAGAAAAGAAAAUAGAGCUAAACCAUAAGAGAAUCUUAACCAUAGAGAACAAACUGAGAAUUGCUGGGGGAGAUGGUUGAGGGCUAAAUGGGUGGUGGGGAUUAGGAGGGCACUCAUUAUGAUGAGCGCUAGCUUUUAUAUAUAAAUGAUGAAUCACUAAACUCUAACCCUGAAACCAAUAUUACUCUAAAUGUUAACUAACUAGAAUUUAAAUAGAACCUUGAAAGAAAAAAACAAAACAAAACAAAAUGGAAUCUUUGCAAUUGAUAGACCAGAACAUACAAAGUAGACUUUGAUGGAGUUUUCUAUUAAUCCAGAUUUUUUCAUUGCAACUCCCACAUAAUGGAUAAUAAACAUGUAUUUCCUAUAAUAGAUCUAUACUGUAAUACCCUUUGAUUUCCCUGCUCUCAAUUCUGUUACAUGGUAGGGGCUACAGUAAAUCUUCAGUGGUAUUCAUAGAAGCCAUCAACAUUUGUUAUAGAUACUGUACAAAAAAUUCUGCAAUUAUUCAUGAUGUUAGGAAUGGAGGUCGCAAGUAUGGGCUUUGGAUCUUCACUCAACCUCAAAUGGUGGCCCCAACUUUAAUUAACUAUAUAACUCUGAUAGAGCUAUGAACUACCAUUGGACCUUUCAGGCAAAAAUGCAUAGCUUGAACAAAAUCAUGAGGAAACAUCAAUCAAACUCAUAUUUAAUAACAUUCCAAGAGAAUAUUGUACUAUUCUGAAGUGUUAAAGUGACAAAACACAAAGGAAAAUUGCGGAGCAGUUCUGGACUGAAGGAGUUUAUAGCACCAGGACAUCUAAAUUCAUUGAUAUUUCCUCUACUAGAAAGAACAUCUUCAGGUAACUUGAGUAAGAUAAUGAUAUUGUAUCAAUGUUAAUUUCCUAAUUUUAGUUUUACUUUGUUUUUAGGAAAUGAACUCUUAACUAUUUUAAGGUAAUGGGACAUUGUGUCCCUUACUUGCAAAAGCUGAAAGAGAAUGAUAAAACCACGAUGAUAAAUGUUAUCAUUUCGGGAGACUAAAGGAUAAUAUGAGUUCUUUGAUUCAUUUUUGCAAAAGACACCAUGAAACACAGUUAAAUGUUCUCAAAAGGCGACAUAAUUUUACCAAACUCCAAAAGCUCUUAUUAAGGAUUAAAUGAGGUAAUUUGCAUAAAAUUAGGAAUAAUCCUCAAAAAAUGCUAAGCAUUUUUUUGUUUCAUCUAUAUCACAAUAUAACUCUUC